UACAUCAUUUUAUUAUUCUCUGACUGUAUAUAUUGUCCUCUGUUUUUCUCUGACUAUAAAUUGGAUAUCUAACAUUAUUCUCUUGUUUCGUUUCCAUAGUUCCAGCCACUUGUUGUGCUCUGAUGGAUCAAGAAUGUGGACCGUUUUACAGACUCACUUGGGCCUUGUUUUGCAAUGUUGUUUCAUGAUGGUAAUGUUGGUUAACGUGUUGUUAAACAUGAAUGUUUAAAGAGCCAUGUUGGAUACUAUGAAGUUGUAACUGAAUAAAAUUAUUUCAUGUACAACAACGUACACAAUUCGUCUGUAAUGUUUUUUUGUAUCAAUUAAGAAAAAUUAAACACUGUAUAUCCAGUAUGCAAAACGUACUGGAUAUACAGUGAUUUAGGUAUUUCUUCUAAAUAAAGUUAAUUAAAAUCAAGCAAUUUGCUGUAAAAAAUACAGAAUUAUACUGUUGAUAUUCAAAAUUACAGUUUUUCCUGUAUUCUGCAAUUACAGUAAAUGGCUGUAAAUUAAACUACAGUACUGUGGCUGUACAAUUUACAGUAACUGGCUGGCAACCCUGCUGCCAGUAGUUUACUGUAAAUUUUACAGGAUUUUUUUUACAGUGUUCUUUUAAACUUUUAUGUUUUUAUUUAACUAAGCCCAUCUUUAAGUUUCUAAUUAAACGUUGAAAAUGUUAGAAGUUAAAAGGGCCUGUGUAUUUUGUAUUUAUGUGACUGCAACUAUAGACUGUUCACUACUUCAAAAUACUUCUAAAUGCUGUAAUGUUUCAAAUUGUUAGAUUAAUCUCACUUUCAGAUGGGAGGUGGUUGUAUUUCCUGCCAGCCGUUACCAACAGAUGAAGAUAAUGUCUCACCUAUAAUUAAUGCAGCUCAGCCGUCUCAAACAUCCCACAACACUGCAAGUCAGUCUACAAUUCAACAUGUCUACAAUGAUACCAUUAAUUAUAUUGCUGGGUUGGUGGCAAGGUGCUGCUGAUGGAAGUGAUGUUUCGCAAACGCCUAGUAUUAUUUAUGAACCAAAGGGAAGUUCUGUUCAAAUAAACUGCACACAGUAUAAGGGUUCAACCUACAGACUGAUGUAUUGGUACAAACAGCGCCACGGAAAACCCAUGAGACUCGUAGCAUUCACAACAUCUUACACCAGUCCAGAAUAUGAAGACUCUUUGUCCAAUAAAUUUUUGGCCAACAAAACUUAUCCUGAGAAUGGAUCUCUGACUGUGAAAAAUUUAGAACCAGAUGAUGAGGCCAUCUAUUUCUGUUCAGUGAGCGAGCACACAGUGUAGCAAAACUCUGGGGAGAGUACAAAUAACAGAUGUCAAAAAAAAAUAAGAAUAUAUUUGGUCAACAGGGGGCAAUGUGUUUCAAUAGAUUUAUGGCUUUCCUGUGUCUGCAAAAUUUAAACGGUUCUGGUUUUAAAAAAUG